UACGUAGGGUGCAAGCGUUAAUCGGAAUUACUGGGCGUAAAGCGUGCGCAGGCGGUUUUGCAAGUCAGAUGUGAAAUCCCCGGGCUUAACCUGGGAAUUGCAUUUGUGACUGCACGGCUAGAGUGUGUCAGAGGGGGGUAGAAUUCCACGUGUAGCAGUGAAAUGCGUAGAUAUGUGGAGGAACACCGAUGGCGAAGGCAGCCCCCUGGGUCAAGAUUGACGCUCAUGCACGAAAGCGUGGGGAGCAAACAGG
rnacentral:rRNA from 1 species